GGCAGCAUCCCCAGAGCGCAGCAGGGCGGGGUUAGGGGAAGCAGUCGGUAGCAGCACCUGCCCCUCGUACGGCAGGAGCGAGAAGUGCCAGCCUCUCUGCACAGAGCAGCAGCGUUCAGCCUGGGCCAGACGUGCUGCGGUGAUGGUCAUCCCUGCCGGGGCCCCGCCAAAAAUGUUUGAAUUGGGCCCCGCCCUUCCUAAAGCCGGCCCUGUCCGCUACCACCAUCACCUGGGAACCCCAACCAGUUCAAGCCUCAUGGAGUGGUUGUGCUUUAAUCAUGGUGCAGACAGUCCAACUCACAGAGGGCAUGAAGCAGAUAGUAGACACUUGAUCCAUUAUUUUCUACAAACCUCAAGACAAGCUUGGAGUCACUCUGAUUUGCAAAGAAUGUAUUUUCUCCUUUAGCAGCUUAUUUAUGCUACUUUCUACUGCAGUUUUUAUGGAUCAAGAAAGAGAAUAUCUUCUUGUGCAUUGACAAUAAAAUUCAGGUAAUCAAAACUAUCAGUUGUGGAGUAUGGUUUCCCUCCCAUCCUCCCUCCAGAGCUGGCUAAGGACUUGUCUACAUAGGAAAAUUAUUCCGGAUUAACUAGGCAGGGUGAGAUUUAGGCCUUGGCUACACUUGCGAGUUGCAACGCUGUAAAGCCGCCCCAGCGCUGUAACUCGCUCCCCAUCCACACUGGCAAGGCAUUUGCAGCGCUGUAUCUCCAUGAUUGCAGCGCUGCACGUACUCCACGUCCCCGAAAGGAAUAGCAUGUAUUGCGCUGCCACUGCAGCACUGCGGCGCCAGUGUGGCCGCCCAAUGCGCUGUGACUGGCCUCCAGAAUUAUUUGGCAGUAUCCCACAAUGCCUGUUCUAGCCACUCUGGUCAUCAGUUCAAACUCUACUGCCCUGGCCUCAGGUAACCCACCAUGUGACCCACCCUUUACAUUCCCCGGGAAUUUUAAAAAUCCCCUUCCUGUUUGCUCAGCCUGGUGUGGCGUGAAGUGCUAUCAGCGAAUCUUUCCAGGUGACCAUGCCUCCACGCGCCAAGCGAGCCCCAGCAUGGAGCAAUGGCGAGUUGCUGGACCUCAUCAGUGUUUGGGGGGAGGAAGCUGUCCAGUCCCAGCUGCGCUCCAGCCGUAGGAAUUCCGAUACCUUCGGGAAGGUAUCAAAGGACAUGAUGGAAAGGAGCCAUGACCGGGACGCCCUGCAGUGCAGGAUUAAAGUGAAGUUGCUGCGGAAUGCCUACCGCAAAGCCCGCGAUGCAAACGGCCGCUCAGGUGCUCCCCCCACGACUUGCCGAUUCUACAAAGAGCUGGAUGCGAUACUUGGAGUUAACCCCACCUUCACUCCGAGCACCACCAUGGACACUUCAGAGCUGGUGAGGGGUGUGUGGGGAAGAGAAGAAGGAAAACAGGAGUGAGGGUGGUGGGCUGGAUGGAGACACCCCGGAAUCCCUGGAGCAAUGCAGCCAGGAGCUCUUCUCGAGCCAGGAGGAAGGUAGCCAGUCGCAGCGGCCGGUACUUGGUGGAGGACAAACAGAAAAGCAGGUUCCCGCUGCAUCAACCUUGAGACCUCAGCCGUCCCUCUUAUUGCCUGCUCCGACACUGCAAAGACUCAGGAAGAGACCGUGAAAAAGCAAAGAAUCAUAGAAUAUCAGGAUUGGAAGGGACCUCAGGAGGUCAUCUAGUCCAACCCCCUGCUCAAAGCAGGACCAAUCCCCAGACAGAUUUUUGCCCCAGAUCCCUAAAUGGCUCCCUCAAGGAUUGAGCUCACAAUCCUGGGUUUAGUAGGCCAAUGCUCAAACCACUGAGCUAUCCCUCCCCGUGACAUGCUGCAAGAAGUGAUGCGGCAAUCUAUUAAAGAGAAUGAGAAAGCACAGAACUGGAGGGAGAGAGAAAGUAGGAUCCGCCAGGAAAACGCAGCGCACCGGCGGCAAAGCACGGAGCACCGGCAGCAAAGCACGGAUCGGCUCACGGAGCGCCAAGCAGACGCUAUCCAGGAGCUGGUAGCCAUGCAGAAAGAGGAGCAGUACCGCAAGUGCAAAUGCCACCCUCCCCUACAGCCCUUGUCUCAAAACUCUUUCCAUUGUGCCCCACUGUCACUUCCAACCCACUUUCCCCAACUUCCGUGUUCUUCACACCACCAGCUGCCUCCAACACCAGUAUCUUCACCACCCAGCCCUGAAAACCACGACCCUUACCCUCUGCACUCAACCCCCAUCACCAUGCAGUAUAGCUAGCCUGAAGUGCAGCACUCACUGCACAGCACACCAGACAGGACAUACGCGAAUCUGUGAUUGUACC